rnacentral:rRNA from 1 species
CCAAUAGCGUAUAUUAAAGUUGUUGCAGUUAAAAAGCUCGUAGUUGAAUUUCGGGAUUGGCGCAUCGGUCGUGCCUUACGGGGUAUGAACUGGUGCAGUCAAUUUCUCACCUUCUGGAGAACCGCGAUGUCCUUAAUUGGGUGCCGUGGGAAACCAGGACCUUUACUUUGAAAAAAUUAGAGUGUUUAAAGCAGGCAUUU